rnacentral:rRNA from 1 species
UACGGGGGGGGCAAGCGUUGUUCGGAAUUACUGGGCGUAAAGGGCGCGUAGGCGGCCUUCUAAGUCGAACGUGAAAUCCCCGGGCUCAACCCGGGAACUGCGUCCGAUACUGGAAGGCUUGAAUCCGGGAGAGGGAUGCGGAAUUCCAGGUGUAGCGGUGAAAUGCGUAGAUAUCUGGAGGAACACCGGUGGCGAAGGCGGCUCUCUGGGACGGUACUGACGCUGAGACGCGAAAGCGUGGGGAGCGAACAGG